rnacentral:lncRNA from 1 species
UGCGGCCAAAUCUUGGUCUUGAAUCUGGAGUGGUUACAAGGCUGCACUGAAGAGUGUCUUUUGGAUUUAAAACCUACUGCUUUCACUCAGCAUCCAGAGUAAGCUCCCGAAAAUAUAGAUUAGGUGACACCACAUGGUGUGUAUAACAUCCGUUAACUUUCAUACAAUCUCACUUUAUCGCUGUUGAUUGAAAACCUACUGAGUGCUGGACCCUGCUGAUCCAAAAAAUUUUUUUUCUUUCUUUCUCUCUCUCUUUCUUUCUUUCUUUCUUUCUUUCUUUCUUUCUUUCUUUCUUUCUUUCUUGAAUGACUUAGGCACUAGAACAACUCAAAGGAAUAUAAUAAAGUACAAAUUAUUACUAUAAUAGAAGGCAACAGGUGUGAUGGAAAACAGUUGGACAAAGGAGAUGUAGCAAACAGUCUGGUUGGAAUGCACCGGUUAAGCCUCCCUAGAGCUCAGACUCAGAGGAGGUGGAGAGCGAGCCAUCGAGCCUAGGAGGCUAAGUGGAGAAGGAAGUCUCUUGGGGCCACAGGAGUUCAGCUAUGUCCUUUGUCUGCUUUCACAUGCAUGCCCUCCCUCCUGCUCCCCAGCUAGCCCUGCCGUCCCUUUCCCACCUUGAAACUUCACACAAACCACCAGCAGCUCAGUAGCCCCCUUUUCCUGGCUUUGACGAACAGCAUUCAUCUAUCUCUUGGGUGACCAUAUAAACGUCACCUCUUUGGGUGGGCUCUCUUUGUCCCCUAUUGUGACUUAGAAAGCCUCCCACAGUUAUUUUUGUCACCCUCCCUUCCGACACUCAAUAAACACUGUUUGAAUGAUGGAACCUAGAGGUUCAAGUAGGAUGCUCUUUUUGAAGACAGCAUCCUCGUGAAUGCUCUGAGACUGAACGCAGUGCUGGGGGUUUGCACGUGAAUUGUCCUCCUCAGGUGCACAAGUUUGAACACUUUGGCUUUAGCUGGGAAAGACUUAAGUCCAGCUUAGUUGGAAGAAGUGGGCCACUGGGAACUGGCCUUGAGAUGUCUUAGCCUGGCCCGCUCUUGUCCUUUCUCCUUCCCAACCGCAGGCUCAGUGUGACCUGUCACCUCAUGCAUGGGCCACCAAGCCUUCCCUCAACUUCAAGCCCAAGCAAUCUUUCCUAUCUUUACCUUGUCAGGCAAGGCAACAAGGAAAAUGACACAGGGGUGGAUGGAAAAACCAAGUAAUAGUUUGAGUUUAAGUACAGUAAUCUUGAUAUACAAGAUUAAAGGUAGGCUAUAAAGCAGCGGCCCUCAAAUUCCCUAAUGCUACGACCCUUUAAUACAGUUUCUCAUGUUGUAACAACCCCAACCAUAUUUUUGUUGCUGCUUCAUAAUUGUGAUUUUGCUACUGUUAUUAAGCAUAAUGUAAAUAUCUGAUAUGCAAGAUAUCCGAUAUGCAACCCCAAAGGGGUCGCCACCCACAAGUUGAGAACCUCUGCUGUAAAGCAUUAAACUGUGUUGUGGUGAACAUAUUUUUCUCUCUGCUUCAGCUUUUCUUCAGAACAGAACCAUUCCUCUGAGUGAAGCAAGCUUCGGGUCAUCCCUUAGCCCAGAUGCGUCCUUGCCCGUCCAACUUCAUGGGAAUCCCGGCUUCCUCUGCAGGAAAACCCUCUCUGACAUGACGACAAUGCUGCAGUCUUCUUUUAUCUUAGAACAGCAUGCCUUUCUACUUAUUCUGUGCCUCAAAUUAAUUUAAAAUAAAUUUGUCCUAA